GGGGAAAUAGCUUAACUGGUAGAGCAUCAGACUUCCACCCUGAGAUUCCUGGUUCAAUUCCUAGCACCA
rnacentral:tRNA from 1 species